rnacentral:rRNA from 1 species
UACGUAGGGUGCAAGCGUUGUCCGGAAUUAUUGGGCGUAAAGAGCUCGUAGGCGGUCUGUCGCGUCGGCUGUGAAAACCCGGAGCUCAACUCCGGGCCUGCAGUCGAUACGGGCAGACUGGAGUUCGGCAGGGGAGACUGGAAUUCCUGGUGUAGCGGUGAAAUGCGCAGAUAUCAGGAGGAACACCGGUGGCGAAGGCGGGUCUCUGGGCCGCAACUGACGCUGAGGAGCGAAAGCAUGGGGAGCGAACAGG